rnacentral:lncRNA from 1 species
CUGGAAAAAAAAUCAAAGUUCUAUUUAAAUGUAUUAACACUCGUCUUAUAUUUCUGUUUAUAUGAUGAUACAUGUAUAUGAUACAUGUUUAUCAAAAAAUAUUAAAUACAAAAAUACAGAGUUGUCGGAUACAUUUGAUUAAAUAUGUAAAUAUAAAUAAUCCUUUUAAUAUUUUAAUAGAUAAGAAAUAAAAUCAAACAGCAAUUAUCUGGAAACACCAUCUGCAAGUCUGAUUAUUCAGCUGACCAAUUAACAAAAAUCUUGUACAGAGCUUUUUUUCAAGAUUAUGUUUAAUUCUGUUUCAAAAGCAGCAUUUGGCUAGGGUUAGGGUUAUGGUUGGGGCUAGGGUUAGGGUUAGGGUUAGGGUUAUGGUUGGGGCUAGGGUUAGGGUUAGGGUUCGAGCUAGGGUUAGGGUUAGGGUUAUGGUUGGAGCUAGGGUUAGGGUUAGGAUUAGAGUUGGAGCUAGGGUUAGGGUUUGAGCUAGGGUUAGGGUUAGGGUUAUGGUUGGGGCUAGGGUUAGGGUUACGGUUAGUGUUAGAGUUGGAGCUGGGAUUAGGGUUAGGGUUGGAGGUAGGGUUAGGGUUACGGGUUAGGGUUAGGGUUAGUGUUGGAGCUAGGGUUAGGGUUGGGGUUAGGGUCAGUGUUAGUGUUCGAGUUGGUGCUGGGGUUAGGGUUAGGAUUAGAGUUGGAGCUAGGGCUAGGGUUAGAGUUAGGGUUGGAGCUAGGGUUAGGGUUAUGGUUGGGGCUAGGGUUAGGGUUGGAGCUAGGGUUAGGGUUAUGGUUGGAGCUAGGGUUAGGGUUAGGGUUAGGUUUGGAGCUAGGGUUAGGGUUAGGUUAGAGUUGGAGCUAGGGUUAGGGUUAUGGUUGCAGCUAGGGUUAGGGUUAGGGUUGUAGCUAGGGUUAGGUUUAGAGUUAGGGUUAGGGUUAGAGUUGGAGCUAGGGUUAGG